rnacentral:rRNA from 1 species
UACGUAGGGUGCGAGCGUUAAUCGGAAUUACUGGGCGUAAAGCGUGCGCAGGCGGUGAUGUAAGACCGAUGUGAAAUCCCCGGGCUUAACCUGGGAACUGCAUUUGUGACUGCAUCGCUGGAGUGCGGCAGAGGGGGGAUGGAAUUCCGCGUGUAGCAGUGAAAUGCGUAGAUAUGCGGAGGAACACCGAUGGCGAAGGCAAUCCCCCUGGGCCUGCACUGACGCUCAUGCACGAAAGCGUGGGGGAGCAAACAGG